rnacentral:sRNA from 1 species
ACAUGACCGAUCCGAAGAGCUGGAACAGUGGGUGAAAGCCAGCCGCGCAGGAAGUGUAGACGCUCCCAGUUGUCAGCCGGGCCUGCCCUAAUUU